UCAAAUGCAGUGUUCUCCUGGGGGCCAGCACAGAAAGUUUAAAAAAAACUCUCAGCAGUCAGGGUUCCAACAGCUUUGGACCCUCCAACUCCCACUCUGAGCACAGUCAGGGCAAAAGCAGCCCUGGAAAGGGAAUUAUUUCCUUCACCCCUUUGCUCGGCGUGGCCCAUCCCAGAUGGCACCAGCACCACCCCCCUGUUCCAACGAAACCAAUUAAAUUUGGAUUAAUCCUGGUUAGCACAAGUCUGGAAAAAAAACACUUUAUUUGCUCAGAUCCCAGGCCAGGAAGUGGAAGCCAAGGGGAUCAGGGGCCUGCAGUCCCCUGGGAUGGCCAGGACACUGCCAGGGGUGUGCAGCUUCCAGGGUUUUGCUCCCCAGGCUUGUGUUUGACACCAAAACGAGAAGCAAAUUCAUGAUUAAACGAAUGAAUCCCUCCUGCAGAACACGGGAUAGCCGAGGUGUUGGGAUGUGGGUACCCAAAGCUGCAAUCCCACGGAACAACAUCCCCCUGCCACGGAUCUGAACCCCCAGAAGCCACGGGGCCACCAGAGGGCUCAGCCAGGACGGUGGUUUGGAAGAUUUCACCCACGCAGGAACAUGAAAAUCCACUUAUUUAAUACCCUCUGAAUGGGCUUUGCUCCUUGCUGGAGAUCAAGGGGAAGAACACGAUGGUAAAAAUAAAUAAAUCACCCUGCAACUUCA